GAUGAACGCUAGCGGGAGGCCUAACACAUGCAAGCUGAGCGGUAUUUGUCUUUCGGGACAGAGAGAGCGGCGUACGGGUGCGUAACACGUGUGCAACCUGCCUUUAUCAGGAGGAUAGCCUUUCGAAAGGAAGAUUAAUACUCCAUAAUAUAUUAAUUGGCAUCAAUUGAUAUUGAAAACUCCGGUGGAUAAAGAUGGGCACGCGCAAGAUUAGAUAGUUGGUGAGGUAACGGCUCACCAAGUCGAUGAUCUUUAGGGGGCCUGAGAGGGUGAUCCCCACACUGGUACUGAGACACGGACCAGACUCCUACGGGAGGCAGCAGUGAGGAAUAUUGGACAAUGGGUUAGCGCCUGAUCCAGCCAUCCCGCGUGAAGGAUUAAGGGACCUUAUGGGUUUUGUAAAACUUCCUUUUUGUACAGGGAUAAAACCUACCCUCGUGAGGUAGCUGAAGGUACU
rnacentral:rRNA from 1 species